rnacentral:rRNA from 1 species
UACAGAGGGUGCAAACGUUGCUCGGAAUUAUUGGGCGUAAAGCGCGUGUAGGCGGCCUGUUAAGUCGGCUGUGAAAGCCCAUGGCUCAACCAUGGAAGUGCAGUCGAAACUGGCAGACUCGAGUCCUGGAGAGGGUGGCGGAAUGCCCAGUGUAGAGGUGAAAUUCGUAGAUAUUGGGUAGAACACCGGUGGCGAAGGCGGCCACCUGGACAGCGACUGACGCUAAGACGCGAAAGCGUGGGGAGCGAACAGG